rnacentral:rRNA from 1 species
GAUGAACGCUGGCGGCGUGCCUAAUACAUGCAAGUCGAGCGAACAGAUGAGGAGCUUGCUCCUCUGACGUUAGCGGCGGACGGGUGAGUAACACGUGGAUAACCUACUUAUAAGACUGGGAUAACUUCGGGAAACCGGAGCUAAUAACGGAUAAUAUAUUGAACCGCAUGGUUCAAUAGUGAAAGACGGCUUUGCUGUCACUUAUAGAUGGUUCCGCGCCGCAUUAGCUAGUUGGUAAGGUAACGGCUUACCAAGGCAACGAUGCGUAGCCGACCUGAGAGGGUGAUCGGCCACACUGGAACUGAGACACGGUCCAGACUCCUACGGGAGGCAGCAGUAGGGAAUCUUCCGCAAUGGGCGAAAGCCUGACGGAGCAACGCCGCGUGAGUGAUGAAGGUCUUCGGAUCGUAAAACUCUGUUAUUAGGGAAGAACAAAUGUGUAAGUAACUAUGCACGUCUUGACGGUACCUAAUCAGAAAGCCACGGCUAACUACGUG